GUCCACUCAGGGUCAUACCCGGAGAGUUUCCAAUACUCUACCAGUCUUGGCUAUGGGAGGGAGAGUCAAGCAGAGGCCUACCCAUUCUAUUCCUAGCUUGGCCAGUGGCAAGUGAAUGGAAGGCAAUCUGCUUCAAGU